rnacentral:tmRNA from 2 species
GGGGACGUUUUAAUUCGAUUAAAGUUCCUUAACAAUCAUUGCUAACCAAGCUGAACACCUUGACAACAAAAUGUUCGCACAAAAUAAGUGUCAAAAAUAUAUUGGCUAAAGCCAAGGAUGCGAUUGCGCAAGCAUUCAGCGUACCAGCUUUCGCCACUGCAGUAGCCUAAAUCCUGCUGCCAUCUGUCUAGCAAAAUCUGUGAGCUAAUAACAGGUGCCAUUUAUUCGGGUUAGAUUGAUUGGCGGCUACGGGCCAGUCAAUUGAAAAUUUUCUGAGCUUUAAAUUUAGAAUUUUUGUCUGCUUUAUAUUCUAAAUUUGAAAUUUUUAAACAGACUAUGUUAGUAGACAAUGAUUCUUAUCGCUUUAACACGCGGGUGUAAUACCCGCCGUCUCCACCA